AACGUACGGUGUCGGCUACCUUACGGACUCGCUGGUUAAGAUGGCGGCGCCUGGGCGACAUUGGCGGCUCUAGGUGGGCGACCUAUUUGUUGGCUGCUAAGCGCUCGUCCGGGGCGUGCGGAGUAAGAGUGCGGUGCCGCGGGGGCGGGACCAGGAGCGGAAGUGGUUGUGGGCGCCUUUGCCACCGCCGCGGACGCCGCCGCCGAGGGGCUGGUUCAGGUUCGCGGGUUGCUGCCAGGGAUCCGGAGCGGGUGCGCUGUGAGCGGAGAAAUGGAAGGAGACGGUUCAGACCUGGAACCUCCAGAUGCCGGGGAGGACAGCAAGUCUGAGAAUGGGGAGAACGCUCCCAUCUACUGCAUCUGCCGCAAACCGGACAUCAAUUGCUUCAUGAUUGGAUGUGACAACUGCAAUGAGUGGUUCCAUGGGGACUGCAUCCGGAUCACUGAGAAGAUGGCCAAGGCCAUCCGGGAAUGGUACUGUCGGGAGUGCCGAGAGAAGGACCCGAAGCUGGAGAUUCGUUAUCGGCACAAAAAGUCCCGGGAGCGGGAUGGCAGUGAGCGGGACGGCAGUGAGCCCCGGGAUGAGGGAGGAGGGCGCAAGAGGCCUGCUUCAGAUCCAGAACUGCAGCGCCGGGCAGGGUCAGGGACAGGGGUUGGGACCGUGCUUGCUCGGGGCUCCGCUUCGCCCCACAAAUCUUCUCCACAGCCUUUGGUGGCUACACCCAGCCAGCAUCACCAGCAGCAGCAGCAGCAGCAGCAGCAGCAGCAGCAGCAGCAGCAGCAGCAACAGAUCAAACGGUCGGCCCGAAUGUGCGGCGAGUGCGAGGCAUGCCGGCGCACGGAAGACUGUGGCCACUGUGACUUCUGCCGUGACAUGAAGAAGUUCGGGGGCCCCAACAAGAUCCGGCAGAAGUGCCGGCUUCGCCAGUGUCAACUGCGGGCACGGGAAUCGUACAAGUACUUCCCUUCCUCGCUCUCGCCGGUGACGCCCUCAGAGGCCCUGCCAAGGCCCCGCCGGCCACCACCCACUCAACAGCAGCCACAGCCAUCUCAGAAGCUGGGGCGUAUCCGUGAAGAUGAGGGGACAGUGUUGUCAUCCGUGGCUAAGGAGCUACCGGAGGCUACAGCAACGCCUGAACCACUUUCCGAUGAGGACCUAGCACUGGACCCUGAUCUGUACCAGGACUUCUGUGCUGGGGCCUUUGAUGAUCACGGCCUACCCUGGAUGAGUGACGCCGAAGAGUCCCCGUUCCUGGAUCCGGCCCUGAGGAAACGGGCGGUAAAAGUGAAGCAUGUGAAGCGUCGAGAGAAGAAGUCUGAGAAGAAGGUGAUGGAGAGGAAGGAGGAGCGGUACAAACGGCAUCGACAGAAGCAGAAACACAAAGACAAAUGGAAACACCCAGAGAGGGCUGACACCAAGGACCCUGCAUCCCUGCCGCAGUGCCUGGGGCCUGGCUGUGUGCGGGCCGCCCAGCCUGCUUCCAAGUACUGUUCCGAUGACUGUGGCAUGAAGCUGGCAGCCAACCGAAUCUAUGAGAUCCUCCCCCAGCGCAUCCAGCAGUGGCAGCAAAGCCCCUGCAUUGCCGAAGAGCACGGCAAGAAGCUACUAGAACGCAUCCGCCGUGAGCAGCAGAGUGCCCGCACCCGUCUCCAAGAAAUGGAGCGCAGAUUCCACGAGCUCGAGGCCAUCAUUCUUCGAGCUAAGCAGCAGGCUGUGCGUGAGGACGAGGAGAACAAUGAGAACGACAGUGAUGAUACAGAUCUGCAGAUCUUCUGCGUCUCCUGUGGGCAUCCCAUCAACCCACGCGUUGCCUUGCGCCACAUGGAGCGUUGCUAUGCCAAGUAUGAGAGCCAGACAUCCUUUGGGUCCAUGUACCCCACACGCAUUGAAGGGGCUACCCGACUCUUCUGCGAUGUCUACAAUCCCCAGAGCAAAACGUACUGUAAGCGGCUCCAGGUGCUAUGUCCUGAGCACUCACGGGACCCCAAAGUGCCAGCUGAUGAGGUCUGCGGGUGUCCACUUGUACGGGAUGUCUUUGAGCUCACAGGUGACUUCUGCCGCCUGCCCAAGCGCCAGUGCAAUCGCCAUUAUUGCUGGGAGAAGCUUCGGCGUGCAGAAGUGGACUUGGAGCGUGUUCGGGUGUGGUACAAGCUGGACGAGCUGUUUGAGCAGGAACGAAAUGUUCGCACAGCCAUGACCAACCGAGCAGGCUUACUUGCCCUGAUGCUGCACCAGACCAUCCAGCACGACCCACUCACUACCGACUUGCGAUCUAGUGCCGACCGCUGAGCUCCACCAGCCCAGAGCCCCUCAGCCCUGCAUUCCAGUUAGGGGAGUGGCCCUGCGUCGCCCGCUUUCUGUUCCUCCAUUCAUCCGUUUCUUCCACCGCUCCUUAGUUUUAUCCCUCUGCCCAUCUACUUUUUGGCUUCCUUUUGCCCUUAUUAAAGGGCCUCUGACUUCCCGUUGUCACUGUCCCUCUCCAUAUUCAGUGCUGGGGUGAGACCGUGGAGUUUACUCACCCUUGCCUGUACCCUCCCCGUAAACAAAUGGGUUUUGUUAAUAAAAUUUUCAACAACCAAUAAGGGUAUCUCUUGAGAGUCUUCAUCCUUCUAUUUUCAGUUGUGGUCCUGACCCAUGACAAGAUAGAGGUGGCAUAUCUACUCGGGAGGGGCUCUGCCCAGAGGUCAUGCACUCACGUUGCCUUCUCCUCCCAAAGACCAAGAGGAUGCUUCUUCACCAGGAGCUCCAUCCAGUCUGUCCUGCCCAAAAGAGACACAGAAGAAUGCCAUUCAACAAUUGAUUAAGAGUCUUUUAUUUGUAGGCAGUUGAGAGCAUGCUCAUACCAAAGAGACCCUUCAACCCCAGAGAGAGGCGGGAUGGGGCUUAUAAAGCCCGAACUACAAUUGCAUUAGACCAAGGCUGAGUGGCUGAAGUUUCUACAGUUCCUGUUAAAAGAUUCCAAAUGCUCUAGUUGAUUAGAACUAUGGUCUUCCUGAAACUACAGGUAUGGCGAGACUAGAAUGUUUUCUAAGCAAGAUGUGGUUAGCCAGGCUGGGGUGGGUGGUUGUGUGAGGCACACAAAAUGGGAUUUCCUUGGUUAGUUUAUUCUCCACUGGUUUUAGGAGAGUCAAAGCGCUGACUUGUUAUCUUCCAGUGGCAUGGAGUUGUGCUGGGCCCUUAUGAGUGUUAAUCUGACAAAGGCUAUUCGUUGUUUGAUGAAGUUUAAGAACCAGUUGAUUAAACAAAGCCCAAUUGCCAGUCCUAGGAGGAGAAGAACAAGGAGACUUUGAGACCCGUAUUUAAGGUAGUCAGCCGUGGAUUCCAACCAAACCAGGAACUGUUGGCCUCUUUUCUUUUGGUGUUUACUUAGAUUUUCUUAGACCAUUUUGUAAGGUGUUUUUAAUAAGGACUGAUAUAUUUGCAUAGAAACCGCUAGCUUUUCCUAAGGAUACACAUAGAUCUCACCAAAGCAUGAACAGUACAUCUAGCUCCUCCCCCCAAUUCUGUAGAACUGUCUCAGCCAAAGAUUUCAACCUGAUUGAGAAGCAUUUCAAGGGAAGUCAGUAGGAUUUGUGGGUCAUCUGGGAUAUUCCAACCUCACUUCUUGAGAUAAUCAUUAGGGCUGCUGUUUGAUCUGGGCUAAGUCUUCUGAGGAGAGAGCCUCCAGCAUAUGGUGGAGCUGGAAGCCAGGAGGGAAUGUGCUCUGAGCCCCCUUGGGCCAUUGUAAGCAUAUACCUUGAGAAAACAUGGAUAGUAACACACAAGGUUAGACUCCUGUAGUCUGUCAGAGGCCAAGCAUUAUUGUAAGUACAGAGUACAGGCUAACCAGGAUCCUUGCAGUGCCAAGUAGGCUUUUGAAUCAGACAGGCUGAGGGUGAAAGUAUACUGCAGGAUUCUGAGAAGGGAGAUUUUUGGAAAUUAGAGUCAUGUUAUAAAGCAUGAAAAACUAUUAUAUCUUCCUAAGGUUAACUGCAGGGCAGAGACAGGACAGGUGGACUUGCUGUCAUUUGUAACAAUUGGUAUUUUGAUCUCUAGCCCUGCAUAGUGAGGCAGUUUGGAAUUCACAGCCAGCAAUCUCCAGCAAAUCUGGGCUGAGAAGGAUUAAGCAGCUGGUGUAUUUCUUCUGACAUGGGAAACAAGACUCAGAGAUUGUGGGGAACUGUAUUUGAUUUAUUCAGAAUGGGGUAGAGGUAAAGAGAGGGAUGAAGUCGGGUGCUGUGGGAGAGGCAAAAAGUGGGUCUCCUACAUUGGCUAUAGAGACAAUUGGCCCUGGAGGCAACCAUUGGUUAAUGGGUGAGCAAAGCUCCUUCAUUAUAUUCUGUAAUGUACAAUCAGAGGUUCCAGGUGGACACAACUCCCCUGAAAUAGUUAAGGACCUGUUGUAUCCAAAUGAAGAUAACUAUGCUGGAUAGUUUUGUGUGAACUUGACAUAGACUAGAGUCAGUUGAGGAAAUGCCUCCAUGAGAUCCAGCUGUAGGGCAUUUUCUCAAUUAGUGAUCCAUGGGGGAGGGUCCAGCCCAUAGUGGGUGGUGCCGUCCCUGGGCUGGUGGUCCUGGGUUCUAUAAGAAAGCAAGCUGAGCAAGCCAUGCAGAGCUAGCCAGGAAGCAGCACCCCUCCAUGGCCUCUGCAUCAGCUCCUGCCUCCAGGUUCCUGCCCUGCUCGAGUUCCUGUCCUGACUUCCUUCAAUAUGAACAGUAAUAUGAAAGUAUAAAUCAAAUAAAUCCUUUCCUCCCCAAGCUGCUUUUGGGUCAUGGUGUUUUGUCACAGCAAUAGAAACACUAAGACAAUGACAUAACUGCCUCAUCUUGAUAGAUGCCACAUCCAGUGCAGCAAAUGCUAAAACUUGGAGAUCCUGGAGGAGAAGAGCAAUGACCUCUUGGGCAGGGACUCACAUGCACUCUCUGAGUUCCUUAUAUAGACAAAGGAAACCAACUUUAUUUUAUACUUUGGUAUGUUUAAAAGGCAGGGCAGGAUUGCUGGGAGCAUCGGGCCUUAUCUAGAGCUUGGUCAUAAGGGCUCAGAGCUACCUCAAGACAUAUUUCUCCCAAAAGCUCACCUAAAGGCAGUUUCCUUCUGGCUAUCAGAUUGCCCUGCAGUUUUCCCACAGAGACAUGAACACCAAGGGGAGGAUUAACUGAAUCACAGGUUUUGCCUUUGAGGAGAACUUUAUAGGCUGUCUUCAUAGCAACAAAUGCAGCUUCCAAACUGGGAGGAGGCUAUUAUCAUUUGGUCCCCCCCCCCCAACACCACCAGUUAUAUGGCUAUAGUGACACAGGCCAGUAGGGCAGAAUUCAACUGAGUCUUCACACCUGAUGUCAGUAGGUUGGCCUGGACAUAGAUAAAAAUCUGCCUUUCCUAAUUUUCAGUGCUCAUCUAGUAUUUCCUGUUACACUUCAGAGGCAGAAACUUGAGGCUGGCCUUGAAUAAGACUGUGUUCUUGGAGAUAGGUUCAGUAAAGACCUACCCAAUGGUGAAAGAGAUGAGUCAGAACAAAGGACAUGACAUGGUCAAGUUUCAAGAGUCUUAUGAUUGGGAGUCUUGCUUGACAGUGUCUUGUUGGGGAGUGGUGGUCCAUUCUUGAUUUUGGUCUGGGGCUAGCUUGACUCAGGAAUGAUGGAUCCAGGCUAGAAUUCCAUCUACCUUGAUGAUGGUUGGUAUGGUGAGAUGUAAAGUCCCCUUCAUGUAGGGGUUAAGCCUUCUUUUUGGAAUUUUUGAUAUAUACCAGAUCUCCAGCAAGGACUUGAGGAGGGAAUUAGGAGGUUGUCUUGGAUGUUAAAAUGAACCACACCUUAAACCUGUUGGAGGCUGCAGACACUAUAAAGAGACUUUGUUGUGGGAUAUUUGAUCAUACUCUGUGAAGAUGUCUCUGUUUGACCUCACCUGCCUAAGGCACCUUAGUUUAAUAAAGAGCUGAAUGGCCAAUAGCUAGGCAGGAGAGGAUAGGCGGGAUUUCUAAACAGAGAUACAAACUCUGGGAAGAAUGUGAGGCAUGGGGAUUCACCAGUGAGACAAAGAGGAAGUUGGAUAUAACAGUAUGAAGGAGAGGUAACAAGCCAUGUGGCAGAACAUAGAUUAAUAUAAAAGGGUUAAUUUAAGUUUUAAGAGCUGGUUGGGAAUAAGCCUAAGAUAAGGUAAAACUUCCAUAAUUAAUAAAUCUUGUGUCAUUAUUUGGGAGCUGGCAGUCCAAAGAAAGACCUGUUACAAGACUUACUGGCAAUUUCUUCUAAAAUAGAGUCCUUUAAUCUAGGUAGCACAGGAAGUGGCCUCCCAAAAAUAAUUUCACAGGAGGUGAGUCCUACCUUAUAGGAAAUCCAGCUAACUGGACGGCAGACCAGGGGUAGGUGGUUGGGCUGCUUUGCUGAACAGUUGGGCUAUAGAUGAUGUGAAAGAAAAUCAUUUAUCUGAGCUGAUUGAUAGACAACCGGAACCUGGGAAUUAUUUCCUGUAGGUGUUGUGGAAUAUUAGUUCAAGAUGUGUUACAUUUGUUUGUGCUUGUGAAAUAUUUGUUUGAUGAUGCAAAGAUGUGUUACAAUCUUUUAUGUCUAUCUAUGGACCAUUUAGCUUUUUAUUAAACUAAUCACAGUGAUACAUCUUUAUGGUGACAUUUUAUUUGUGCUGAAAUGUGAUUUUAUUUGUAUAUUAAUAAAUAAAGUUGCCUGGGGGUCAGAGCUAGUAGCAAGCCAUUUAGCAGAAGUCUGGCUGUGGUAGCACAUGCCCUUAAUCUGAUCACAUGGCAGGAAGAGUCUGUGUGUUCAAGGACAUAGCCAGCUUGGAGACACACGCCUUUAAUCUCAAUACCAACCAUAGAGACCUGGAGGUCUGUAUAGACAGGCAGUGACGAGGUCAUAUGGUUGGGUUUACAACCAAUGAGAAGGCAGAACAUAAAGUCAAUAAAAAUACAGAUGCACAAGAAGUAGGUCUCUUUCUCAGGGGAAGGACGGCAGUGACAGUGAGGGGGUAAGAAGGCAGUCUUAGCUCUUGGCUGCUGCUCGAUCUCUGGGCUUUUAACUCUG